AGUCGACGAGAGAUUGCUAGCUUGCUAUAAUUCUCUAGUGGCGCACGGGUGAGUAACACGUGAGUAACCUGCCCCCGAGAGCGGGAUAGCCCUGGGAAACUGGGAUUAAUACCGCAUAGUAUCGAAAGAUUAAAGCAGCAAUGCGCUUGGGGAAGGGCUCGCGGCCUAUUAGUUAGUUGGUGAGGUAACGGCUCACCAAGGCGAUGACGGGUAGCCGGUCUGAGAGGAUGUCCGGCCACACUGGAACUGAGACACGGUCCAGACACCUACGGGUGGCAGCAGUCGAGAAUCAUUCACAAUGGGGGAAACCCUGAUGGUGCGACGCCGCGUGGGGGAAUGAAGGUCUUCGGAUUGUAAACCCCUGUCAUGUGGGAGCAAAUUAAAAAGAUAGUACCACAAGAGGAAGAGACGGCUAACUCUGUGCCAGCAGCCGCGGUAAUACAGAGGUCUCAAGCGUUGUUCGGAAUCACUGGGCGUAAAGCGUGCGUAGGCUGUUUCGUAAGUCGUGUGUGAAAGGCGCGGGCUCAACCCGCGGACGGCACAUGAUACUGCGAGACUAGAGUAAUGGAGGGGGAACCGGAAUUCUCGGUGUAGCAGUGAAAUGCGUAGAUAUCGAGAGGAACACUCGUGGCGAAGGCGGGUUCCUGGACAUUAACUGACGCUGAGGCACGAAGGCCAGGGGAGCGAAAGGGAUUAGAUACCCCUGUAGUCCUGGCAGUAAACGGUGCACGCUUGGUGUGCGGGGAAUCGACCCCCUGCGUGCCGGAGCUAACGCGUUAAGCGUGCCGCCUGGGGAGUACGGUCGCAAGAUUAAAACUCAAAGAAAUUGACGGGGACCCGCACAAGCGGUGGAGUAUGUGGCUUAAUUCGAUGCAACGCGAAGAACCUUACCUGGGCUUGACAUGUAAUGAAACACAUGUGAAAGCAUGCGACUCUUCGGAGGCGUUACACAGGUGCUGCAUGGCCGU
rnacentral:rRNA from 1 species